rnacentral:rRNA from 1 species
UACGUAGGGUGCAAGCGUUAGUCGGAAUUACUGGGCGUAAAGCGUGCGCAGGCGGUUGUGCAAGACCGAUGUGAAAUCCCCGGGCUUAACCUGGGAAUGGCAUUGGUGACUGCACGGCUAGAGUGUGUCAGAGGGGGGUAGAAUUCCACGUGUAGCAGUGAAAUGCGUAGAGAUGUGGAGGAAUACCGAUGGCGAAGGCAGCCCCCUGGGUUAACACUGACGCUCAUGCACGAAAGCGUGGGGAGCAAACAGG